GGGUCGUUAGCUCAGUCGGUAGAGCACCGGCCUUUUAAGCCGGGGGUCGCAGGUUCGAUUCCUGCACGACCCA
rnacentral:tRNA from 1 species